rnacentral:antisense_RNA from 1 species
AAUAACCAAAAAUCACGGAGGGGUCUAAGGUAGGAUUGCUGACAACGCGCACAUUUUGUACUACAGGGUCAUAAAUUCCUCCUAAGAUCGUGGCUUUGGCCACAAGGAGAAACGCGCCUAUACCGAGUAAGACCAGAUGAAUACCAAGAAUCGUAGUCAUUUUGUUGGCAUCAUCCCA